rnacentral:misc_RNA from 1 species
GGAAGGAAAUCAUAUGUUAGGUCACUCUUUCUCUAAUUAUGAUCUUAAUGACCCUUACAUGGCAUUGGCUGGCUAGACUUGAACAUUCUUAUAUCCAUACAAAUAAAAAUGUUGGUCAGGUUACUAUGCAGGUAGGCCAUCUUCAUUAAUCUGCUUACAUUUUCAGAUCCUUACAGCUGAUGUUACAAUUAAAUCAUCUAAUUAAUUAUCUCAAAAAUUAAUCCCCACAAGAAAAAGAGAUCCUAGCACAUGAAACAUUUCUUCAAGCAUUCACUUGAUUCAGCCAUGGAGAAUCAUUACAGGCUUCUGAUUCUCUUCACAGCUCUAGCACCACAACUGCACAUCAAAAUACCAUUAAAAUUUUUUAGUUAUGUUAGAGAGAGGGAGAUGGGAGAAAUAGGCUGCUGGGUGGUAUAUAUCUUACAUUCAGAAUCUGUAGUGAUCCAAUUUCCUUUCCUAUCAUGGAGAGGAGUGGAAUUGAGUGAAAGCAUGUUCAGGGUCAGAUCAGUUUUCGAAGAAGAAGCCAUUGAAAUGGCUGAAUAUGCAGAGGAAGUGGUGGAGCAGCUUUCAACAUCCCAUCUGAAACUGAUCUUGGGUGAUUCAUUGCUCAUUUGAUCAUCAUCUGGUACUGCUUUAAGUGUUGCUCUAUUUCUAAAGUGCAGAACCUGAAACAUGCAUUUUCAAUAUGUGCUUCUUUAAGUUACACCUCUACAUAAGGCCAAUUCAAGAAUCUCCAAACAAGUGUCAAAAGACUAUUGAUUUGACCAUUACAUAGUUCUGUUUAGAUUGUAAAGUAGAAAAUUUUUAGAUACAGACCAAAGGAGAGCAGAUAGAAACUUGAUUGGACAAAAAAAUUUCGAACAUUAAUUAUGACUCAAGACAUUCUCCACCCAAAUAGCCUAAGAAAGAAAAUAUCCAAACAUAAAUGGAGAAGACUAAUGGCCCAAAAUAUAUGCUGCCUGCAGAUUUUUCCUAGUAAUAAUCAGUGUUGAUAGAAAAUUUAUUACCUUUCUUCCUAUGAAGUUUCCUUUCUUGUCAGAUUUUGCAGCAGCAGCCCAUCUCAAUAGCUCCUUCAUUCUAGACAUGGCUUUGGUUUUAUCCCUUUUAAGGGUAUUUUUCUUAUCCAGUGAGCCACAUUGGCCAACAUUUGAGCUAGUUGAUGAGGAAGAUAAUGUUGUUGUAUCAGUUAUGGGUAGAACUUUGUUGCCUGCAUGAGUAGCUGAAUCCAGCUUAUUACUCAUGCCUUGUCCUUUAGCAAUAAUGUCUUCUUUCUUCAUCUUCAUAGAGUACAUCCAAUUCUGCUGCUGCUGCUGCUUCCUCCUAUUGAAGCUAUUAAGUCUUUUCAGAGUAAGUGAGCUAUAGAAACAAGCAGUUGCAACAUCUUUUCUGCAUAAAAUUGGAAAUGGUCUAAAUCCCCUCAAACAAAAGUUAUUUUCUUUGCCUCUUCCUGAUCUUCGAUGACUUCCACGAUGCCUAAGAAUUAUAUCUAUUCCUUCAGUUUCUUGAUCUGAAUUUUCACAAACAUAUGGAAACGAAAAGAAUGUGUUAGCGAGUAAGUAACCUUUCCAUCGAAUAUCUGUUUCCUAAUGCAUACAUAUGAUCAAGAAAUAAAUUCAUCUUACCAUUAGUAUUGUACUUGGCAGAAGUGGUAGAAGUAUUCUCCCUUGCUUGUUCUUGCGGUACCUUAAGGAGCCAGUGAAGAAUCUGCUAUAAUGGAUGGGGAGGGGACGUAAGCUGUAAUAUGAAGACUACACAUUUUGUUAUAUAAUUUUUGAAUAUACAAAGCUCACCUGCAUGUUGUGCAUUGAUAUUUUGAGACCCUUUAGUUAUAUAUAGAAGUGUGUUUGCCUGUAGGAAUGUGCGUAAGAAGGUAAGAGAGGGGGUGAACUGACCUUCUUGGUCAAAUGGACAGCAGAGAGUGAUCUAUCCGUGCUGUCUGUAUGCUAAAGAUUCCUGUCUACACAAUGUGGUUUUUAGGAAGAAGAAGACAAAGAAAAUUGGGGGUGAAUCUACUGAAGAUGGGGAGACAACUAGGCAGUGAGUGGAGGAGAG